GACCUCGGAUCAGGUAGGGAUACCCGCUGAACUUAAGCAUAUCAAUAAGCGGAGGAAAAGAAACUAACAGGGAUUGCCCUAGUAACGGCGAGUGAAGCGGCAACAGCUCAAAUUUGAAAUCUGGCUCUUUCAGAGUCCGAGUUGUAAUUUGCAGAGGGCGCUUUGGCUUUGGCAGCGGUCCAAGUUCCUUGGAACAGGACGUCACAGAGGGUGAGAAUCCCGUACGUGGUCGCUAGCUAUUGCCGUGUAAAGCCCCUUCGACGAGUCGAGUUGUUUGGGAAUGCAGCUCUAAAUGGGAGGUAAAUUUCUUCUAAAGCUAAAUAUUGGCCAGAGACCGAUAGCGCACAAGUAGAGUGAUCGAAAGAUGAAUAGCACUUUGGAAAGAGAGUCAAACAGCACGUGAAAUUGUUGAAAGGGAAGCGC
rnacentral:rRNA from 1 species